GCCAGACUCCUACGGGAGGCAGCAGUGGGGGAUAUUGCACAAUGGGGGGAACCCUGAUGCAGCGACGCCGCGUGGGUGAAGGAGCGUUUCGGCGCGUAAAGCCCUAUCGGCAGGGAAGAAGGAGGACGGUACCUGACUAAGAAGCCCCGGCUAACUACGUGCCAGCAGCCGCGGUAAUACGUAGGGGGCAAGCGUUAUCCGGAUUUACUGGGUGUAAAGGGGGCGCAGACGGCGAUGCAAGCCAGGAGUGAAAGCCCGGGGCCCAACCCCGGGACUGCUCUUGGAACUGCGUGGCUGGAGUGCAGGAGGGGCAGGCGGAAUUCCUGGUGUAGCGGUGAAAUGCGUAGAUAUCAGGAGGAACACCGGUGGCGAAGGCGGCCUGCUGGACUGCAACUGACGUUGAGGCCCGAAAGCGUGGGGAGCAAACAGGAUUAGAUACCCCUGUAG
rnacentral:rRNA from 1 species